UACGUAGGGUGCGAGCGUUGUCCGGAAUGUACUGGGCGUAAAGAGCUCGUAGGUGGUUUGUCGCGUUGUUCGUGAAAACUCACAGCUUAACUGUGGGCGUGCGGGCGAUACGGGCAGACUGGAGUACUGCAGGGGAGACUGGAAUUCCUGGUGUAGCGGUGGAAUGCGCAGAUAUCAGGAGGAACACCGGUGGCGAAGGCGGGUCUCUGGGCAGUAACUGACGCUGAGGAGCGAAAGCGUGGGGGAGCGAACAGG
rnacentral:rRNA from 1 species